rnacentral:rRNA from 1 species
GACGAACGCUGGCGGCGUGCUUAACACAUGCAAGUCGAACGGAAAGGCCCUGCUUUUGUGGGGUGCUCGAGUGGCGAACGGGUGAGUAACACGUGAGUAACCUGCCCUUGACUUUGGGAUAACUUCAGGAAACUGGGGCUAAUACCGUAUAGGAGCUCCUGCUGCAUUGUGGGGGUUGGAAAGUUUCGGCGGUUGGGGAUGGACUCGCGGCUUAUCAGCUUGUUGGUGGGGUAGUGGCUUACCAAGGCUUUGACGGGUAGCCGGCCUGAGAGGGUGACCGGCCACCAUGGGACUGAGAUACGGCCCAGACUCCUACGGGAGGCAGCAGUGGGGAAUAUUGCACAAUGGGCGGACGCCUGAUGCAGCAACGCCGCGUGCGGGAUGACGGCCUUCGGGUUGUAAACCGCUUUCGCCUGUGACGAAGCGUGAGUGACGGUAAUGGGUAAAGAAGCACCGGCUAACUACGUG